GUGCUUUAUUCUAUUGGAGAAUUUUGCUGUUGGAAGUUAUCUCUUUCUCUGUGGCUAACGUGUGAAUAUUUCGUACAGGACAAAGGCGUUCACUAAAGGAACCACUAAUAAAAAAGGACCUCCACACUGCAGUAAAAUGGUUGCGCCAACAUAGACGGUUGUUCAGAGGUGCUGUGUCUGAGCCCCAUUUUCUGGAGAUGGAGGAGGAGGACCAAAGCCGAGCUCUCCAGGACAUCAUCGAUGCAGUCGAAACUGAAGAUUUAAUUUUGGCAAAAGAACCCUUUGUAUUUAUUUUUCAGUUUAGGGAUGAUAUGGAACUUUUCACUCA